UAUAUACUACAUGUGCAUGUCCUUGCUUGUUUUGCAAUUGUUCCAGUUUUAGUGAACCACAGUACAAAUAUGUGUACUUCAAUCAUAUGAAUCUGGCCCAGAAGACGACUGUACAUGGUGACAAUAAGAAAUCAACAAAUUUAAACAUUCCCCCUGAUACAAUCAAGCUCUUAAGUGACAUCAGUUCAGAUUUCUCUAAGUGCGAAGAUGAUGCAGAAACCAUUGUGAAGACUUUGAAUGACUCUUGGGUUGUAGG